rnacentral:misc_RNA from 1 species
UUGUGGAGGAGGACGCCGAAGGGGGGGCUGAUGACUGGGGGGAAGUCGUAACAAGGUAGCCGUACCGGAAGGUGCGGCUGGAUCCCCUCCUAACAGGGAGACAAAAACUGAUUAUUGAUGUCUGAAUAUUUAUUUCAGGCCGUAAUCCUGUCACCUUAGGUCGAUCGGUACCUCAGAUUGAAGCUAUAUAAAAUGAGAAAUCAAUUUUAUACAUUGUCUUUAAUUUCAGUUCCUAAACUUGUCUAGGUCACACCCAACAAACUUUCUCCUGGGCUAUUAGCUCAGGCGGUUAGAGCGCACCCCUGAUAAGGGUGAGGUCCCUGGUUCAAGUCCAGGAUGGCCCAUUCGUUGUUGGGGGUAUAGCUCAGUUGGUAGAGCGCCUGCUUUGCAAGCAGGAUGUCAGCGGUUCGAGUCCGCUUACCUCCACUGAUCAACUACCUGAUAACUCAAUUGGAGAUUGUCAUUUGUUUUAGUGACUUAGAUGUUGUUCGCCUGAAUGAACCUAGCUUCCUGUCAUUCCUUAGUUUUUUAUUAAGGCUGAUAAGACGCUGGGCUCACUGAUAUUUGAAAAUUUAUCAGUUUGAUUCAGCAGAACCUUGACAACUGCAUAAGAAAAGUCUGGAAAAAAAGCAUCUCAUAGAUUUUUAGAAGCUUUUGAUUUAGAACUACUAAAUUCAAAGUUUCUAUUUUCAAUUCUUGAGUUAGAGCAAAAAACUCUGUAUCUGAUUCGCUUAUAAAAUAAGUGUUUAACUAAUUUUUAAAUUAGUUUCAGUUAUAGAGCUAUAAAUGGUCAAGCUACAA